GAUGAACGCUAGCUACAGGCUUAACACAUGCAAGUCGAGGGGCAGCAGGGAUUUAGCUUGCUAAAUUCGCUGGCGACCGGCGCACGGGUGCGUAACGCGUAUCCAACUUUCCCGUUACUCUCGGAUAGCCUUCCGAAAGGGAGAUUAAUACGAGAUGGUGUUCUAAUUUCGCAUGUUAUUAGAACUAAAGAUUUAUCGGUAACGGAUAGGGAUGCGUGACAUUAGAUAGUUGGCGGGGUAACGGCCCACCAAGUCUACGAUGUCUAGGGGUUCUGAGAGGAAGGUCCCCCCACACUGGAACCGAGACACGGUCCAGACUCCUACGGGAGGCAGCAGUGAGGAAUAUUGGUCAAUGGUCGGAAGACUGAACCAGCCAAGUAGCGUGAAGGAUGAAGGUUCUAUGGAUUGUAAACUUCUUUAUACGGGAAUAAAACCUCCCACGUGUGGGAGCUUGUAUGUACCGUAUGAAUAAGCAUCGGCUAACUCCGUG
rnacentral:rRNA from 1 species